rnacentral:misc_RNA from 1 species
GAAAAAAAAAAAAAAGCAAUAUACACAAAAAUACGUCUCUUAAAUCUGAUAAUCAAAAUUCACUUUUAUAUGAGCUCCAUAGAUCGAAGUCAUCAUCAUCUUCAUCAUACUUCAGAGGAUCUCCAUUCUGAUCUUCAACUGUUCCAUCCUCAUCUUGCUCAUCAGAUUUUGCCACUUCUUCCUGCCAGUAACAAUGCAAAUGGAUAGGUAAAUGUGAUUUUUUUUUUUCUUUCUUUUUUUUAGUGAAAAAAAGAAACUUCAAAUGUAGCAUAUGAAACCUGGAAUCUCUUAUCUCCCCAAUGGCAAUUUCCCUGUUGCAAAUUAGAUUGCUAAUAGCAUUUCAUGACGCAUAGCAUUAGUCAAAUGCUGUUACUUGUAUGUCUCUCACUUAAAUGAGAAGCAAUUGCAUCUCCAUAUUAACAGUUGGAGCAGAUUAAAAGAUCAAGAACAAAAGUUAAAAGGACUAGAUCAUUUUAGAACAGUUAAUUCAAUUUCUUCCAACAUUUUUCCCGAGUGAUUUUAGUACUCCAUAUGAAGAAAUAUAAUAGUAAAUAGCAUAUAUAUCAUCUCUUAGGAAUACAAGGGAAAGAACAAGAUGCUUACAUUAGUUUCAGGAUUCAACUCUGCCUCCUCAUCUGUCAAACUGACUGAGUUACCUCUGUUAGACUCUUGCUCCGCCUGAGCAGCAACUUGUUGCAGCUGCUCAAUCACUUUUUCAUAAUACGAAUGAUCUGCAAAAGAAAAUCAGGUCACAACACCAAAACUUUCAACACCCCACAUCUCACAGCAAUCAAGUUGAAUAUAACUUAAAUUUUACAAUAACUUGCUGCAAAAGAAAGUCCAACAUAAGCCACAUGCUGUCAUACAUUAGUGCAUGUUCUUUUCCCACCUUUUGCUAUAUGUGCGGACACACUGGUGAGAUUGUAGGUUUACACAAUUCAUGCAUACUGAAAAGGACAACACUUUCUGGAAAUCUAAUUCUAAUAUCAAGUCACAUCAAUGAAACUACAAAAAUUAUUUUGAGGCACACUAAUAAAAAAAACACGUCCAGGGCCUGUCACGCGUCAACAACCACCUUUGAUGACAAGCCAAAACAAAAAUCCAAAAUUCUGCAUUCACUUCUCACUUAACUAAAACCUCAACUAAUGCUGGAAAAUAAGGCGAACUACCUGUACAUUGAUCCAAGCUAAAGCUGAACGUGUUAAUCUUUGAAAAAUAUAGAAAUAAUUAUGUUCAACUAAACUUUGAUCAUAAAUUAGAAAGGGGGCAAGUGAACACUGGUUUCACCUUUAGCGCGACUAUUCAGAGCUUCAGAAAGCCUUAAUGGAUGUUGACGCUCCUCCUUCUUAAAUUUCAACUUUAUUUGAUGACGUGUUCGUCCAGGGAAAAGUUGUUGUAUCAUUGAUAGAUCAGUCCCAAAUUGCCGAAUUCCCUCAUAGAACAACUCUGUGUCUUGUUUUGACCAUCUUGCAGUUGGUGUUUUAUCCAUGAAGGAAUGGUAAUUGAAUAAGAAGUUUGAUUGAUCAUCAACGCAGCCUCCGUAUUGCUCUGAAAUACCAAUAUCCUCUUCAUUAUGAGAAUCCUUCCCAUGGAAAGAAUUGGUAGUGCUUUUAUUGGUUGAGGCAUUCUUUGAAGCUUUUGCCUCUUUAGUAGCUAAACUCUCCUUGUGCCCUGCAAGCAAAAUAAUAUCUUUGAAAGGCAUCUUCUGAAAAUCAAUUUCAUCUUCUGGUAUGCUAAGUAAACCUUUUAAUCUGUUUUUACGAAGAGUGGAAUGAGAAAACUUCUUGCGUGGCUGUUGAUUUGACUGUUCUGGUGGACCAUUGUCCCUCUUACGUCUUCUAACAGGUUUUUUUUCCUGUUCAGCUGCAGUUUUCUUUGACUUUUUUGAAGCUCUUUUAUUGAUAGAUGUAUUUUCCACUCUAUCUUCAUUAUCAUUAUCUUCAUCCACUCUAUAAUCAUAAUCAUUAUCUCCUUCAUCCGCUAUAGAAUUACUAGGAGGUUCAGAAGGGAAGCCAUCACUAUCAAGGGCUUCAUCCUCCGGCGCAUCAAGUUGCGAAGCAGCAAUCCUUUUUCUCAACUGCCUUCCUGAUUUGCCACUUUCAUUCAUCUCACCAACUAAGGAAGAUUGUUUCGAAUUCUGAGAAAGCUUUGAUACUGAAGAAGACUUUAUUUUUCCAUUCUUGGAACUCUCCCUUGCAGGCACUCCAGGAAUAUCUUCUUGGUGCAAGAUAUUUUGGUCACCGGAGCAAGAAGCUUCUGCAAUUAUUCUUUCUUCAUUCAUUGGAAACUCAGAUGUAGUAGGAUCCGGGGAAAUAAAAUUGCUAAAGCUCAUGGAUGAAUAAUCAAGAACAUCCUCUGAUGGAAAGUUAGGAAGUGAGCCCUCAUCAAUGUACACAUUUUCAGAAGGAUCAAACUGAGCAUUUGGUGGAGGCACAAUAGACUCCACUGCAUCUGGAAGGAUGCUAGUACUAGGUUUAUCUUUGCCAUUUUGUACCAUGGGUUUUGGCUGGAUUUCUCUGGUACAAUGUUCCAAUGCAACGGCAGACUCAGACAAAUUGUCAAAACUUUUCAAGUUAGCGAACGAUCCUUGUUCCUGAAACUCUGACUUCGGCUUUCCAUUAUCAGUCUGAAGAGCAGUUCCAUUACAAGUUACUGCAUUUAGGAUUGCCUGACUGCAUGCACCGAGUGCUGAAGAAUUAACAGAAUUUUGAGCCAGAAAUCUAGAAUGUCCCUCUGUUUCCUCCUCAUUUGAAGUAGCAAGUGGAAUUUCUGUCCUGCUUGGGGAAUGGGUAACAAAAUCAUGAAUAUAUUCCAACUCUGAAAAUAUGUCUGCAUUCUCUCCCAUUGAUUUUCCCAACCCAGAAUGUGAAUCUCUGUCAACAACACCUAAAUGCAGAGCAUCAUCAGAGGCAACUAAAUGGGAAUAAUUUGCUAAACCUGAACUUCUGUCAACAUUGGAUAAUACAACUCCAGAAUUUGUGCAGUGAUCAGUUCUCGAGACCUCAUUGUUUUCCAUGCUCUCCAGGGUAGUUAAAGAUGAAUAAACUGAAUCCAUCAAUCUACCAUCUCCAACAUUAAUAAAUUUAGAAGACUGCAGGUUAUUUGAGACAGUGGACACUACUCUAGCCGGCCCUUCCACUGUAGCACCAGAAACAGCAAAAGCAACAGCCUCAGAUGUUCCCUUCCUCAGCCGGGUCUUUCCCCUAGGUUGAAAUUUGCCACCAGCCCUCACAUUGCUUAUAGCAGGUGGGAGAACAAUAUCAUCAAAUGGGUCCAAAUCAAGCCCUAUUGAAUUGACCUCUGCAAGCUGAGCAUCAUUGGAGCUCAUAUCCUCUUUGGGCACAUGUU